rnacentral:rRNA from 1 species
UGCGCAGGCGGGCUUGUAAGUCAGUGGUGAAAUACUGCCGCUUAACGGUAGAACUGCCAUUGAUACUGCAAGUCUUGAAUAUGGUUGAGGUAGGCGGAAUGUGUCGUGUAGCGGUGAAAUGCAUAGAUAUGACACAGAACGCCAAUUGCGGAGGCAGCUUACUAAGCCAUUAUUGACGCUGAGGCACGAAAGCGUGGGGAGCGAACAGGAUUAGAUACCCUGGUAGUCC